CUGCAUGGUUGUCGUCAGCUCGUGCCGUGAGGUGUCGGGUUAAGGUCCCAUAACGAGCGCAACCCCUACCUUUACGUUGCCAUCAGGUAAUGCUGGGGACUCUAAAGGAACUGCCUACGCAAGUAGUGAGGAAGCGGGGAUGACGUCAAAUCAGCACGGCCCUUACGUCCAGGGCUACACACGUGCUACAAUGGCCGAUACAGAGGGCAGCUACCUGGUGACAGGAUGCAAAUCUCCAAAGUCGGUCUCAGUUCGGAUCGGAGUCUGCAACCCGACUCCGUGAAGUUGGAUUCGCUAGUAAUCGCGCAUCAGCCAUGGCGCGGUGAAUACGUUCCCGGGCCUU
rnacentral:rRNA from 1 species